rnacentral:tRNA from 1 species
CAGCGCCUGGUGCAGCAUGGUGCGCACGCUGUCGGCCAUGUGGCGCAGUUCGAUCACCGGGAUGUGGCGCAGUUCGGCCUCGUGGAUGCGGC